rnacentral:lncRNA from 1 species
UCCCUUGAACAGGCCAAAAAUUGGGCCAGUUGUUCUCAGCCCAUAUUAAUCAAGGGCCUACUUUCAAAGUAUAUUUUUUCGGGAGAAAGAUGGUCUGGCCUUCUUUCUGUCUCUUUUUUUCUCUCACGUUUUAUCCCUUUUUUAAAUUAUUUUCUUUGAGACAAAACAGCACCUGUACUGACCACCACACGGCAGAUUCUACCUAAAAAAUGUCACCUGCUAAACAUUUUUCGAAAAAUAAAAAGAAACCAGCACCUGCUGCUGACCCGAUCGGAUCAAGCCGGAACAAAGAGAAGUGUAGUGAGAUGGGAUGAUAUAUAUACAUGC